AACGAACGCUGGCGGCAUGCCUAACACAUGCAAGUCGAACGAGACCUUCGGGUCUAGUGGCGCACGGGUGCGUAACGCGUGGGAACCUGCCCUUAGGUUCGGAAUCACUCCCCGAAAGGGGUGUUAAUCCCGGAUAAUGUCUUUGGACCCACGUUUUAUCGCCUUUGGAUGUGGCCGCGUUGGAUUAGCUAGUUGGUAGGGUAAAAGCCUACCAAGGCGACGAUCCAUAGCUGGUCUGAGAGGAUGACCAGCCACACUGGGACUGAGACACGGCCCAGACUCCUACGGGAGGCAGCGGUGGGAAAUAUUGGACAGUGGGCGAAAGCCUGGUCCAGCAAUGCCGCGUAAGGUAUGAAGGCCUUAGGGUUGUAAAACUCUUUUACCCGUGAUGAUAAUGACAGUACCGGAAGAAUAAGCUCCGGCUAACUCCGUG
rnacentral:rRNA from 1 species